UUGGCUCAGGAUGAACGCUGGCGGCGCACAUAAGACAUGCAAGUCGAACGGAAGCCGUUAUAAAAAAGAUUGAAGAUUUAUCUGAUUGAAAUUUUAUAACAAUGACUUUAGUGGCGGACUGGUGAGUAAUACAUGAGCAACCUGCCUAUUAGAGGGGAACAACAGUUAGAAAUGACUGCUAAUACCGCAUAUGCCAUAUGAAUCACAUGGUUCAAGUGGGAAAGGAGCAAUCCGCUAAUAGAUGGGCUCAUGGCUGAUUAGCUAGUUGGUGGGGCAAUGGCCUACCAAGGCGACGAUCAGUAGCCGGACUGAGAGGUUAAACGGCCACAUUGGGACUGAGAUACGGCCCAGACUCCUACGGGAGGCAGCAGUGGGGAAUA
rnacentral:rRNA from 2 species